rnacentral:rRNA from 1 species
AGAGUUUGAUCAUGGCUCAGGACGAACGCUGGCGGCGUGCUUAACACAUGCAAGUCGCGCGAUUCUCGAAGUUCGGGGUUGGGAGUUCGAACCUCGAACUUCGAACCUCGAACUUCGAGAAUAGCGGCGGACGGGUGAGUAACACGUGGAUAACCUACCCAUUAGACCGGGAUAACACCGGGAAACUGGUGCUAAUACCGGAUAAGCUCUUUAGAGUAAAAGCCUUAAAGAGGAAAGGGGAAACUCACUAAUGGAUGGGUCCGCGUCCUAUUAGCUAGUUGGUAGGGUAACGGCCUACCAAGGCGACGAUGGGUAGCCGGCCUGAGAGGGUGACCGGCCACACUGGGACUGAGACACGGCCCAGACUCCUACGGGAGGCAGCAGUGGGGAAUAUUCCGCAAUGGGGGAAACCCUGACGGAGCAAUGCCGCGUGAGUGAAGAAGGCCUUUGGGUCGUAAAACUCUGUCUUGAGGGACGAAAAAAAUGACGGUACCUCAAAAGAAAGCCCCGGCUAACUACGUGCCAGCAGCCGCGGUAAAACGUAGGGGGCGAGCGUUAUCCGGAAUUACUGGGCGUAAAGGGCGUGUAGGCGGCCUGUGUAGUCAAGUGGUGAAAACCCGGGGCUUAACUUCGGGAUGGCCCUUGAAACCAACAGGCUUGAGGACAGGAGAGGGGAGUGGAAUUUCCGGUGUAGCGGUGAAAUGCGUACAUACCGGAAGGAACACCAGUGGCGAAGCGGCUCCCUGGACUGGUCCUGACGCUGAGGCGCGAAAGCGUGGGGAGCAAACA